CCCUGGGAUUGCUCCACAAUCCCUAAUUUCCAGCUCCUGGCUGCUGUGCCUUUCAGGGGACCUGCAUCCCUGUCCAGGGUUGAUAAUACUCAAGUUUGAGAGAGAUUGUACUUCUUCAUUUUGGAAAAAAAAAAAGCACUGGAAUCUCAACUUGAAAAUGAAGCAAACUGAAGAAUGUUAUGGCAUCAGGGACUUUUCCAAUGAGUUGGCUCUU